UACGGAAGGGAGCAGUGGGGAAUAUUGCACAAUGGGCGCAAGCCUGAUGCAGCCAUGCCGCGUGUAUGAAGAAGGCCUUCGGGUUGUAAAGUACUUUCAGUCGUGAGGAGGUGUUAAGGUUAAUAACCUUAGCAAUUGACGUUAGCGACAGAAGAAGCACCGGCUAACUCCGUGCCAGCAGCCGCGGUAAUACGGAGGGUGCGAGCGUUAAUCGGAAUUACUGGGCGUAAAGGGCACGCAGGCGGUUAAUUAAGUUGGAUGUGAAAUCCCCGGGCUUAACCUGGGAAUGGCAUUCAAGACUGGUUAGCUAGAGUCUUGUAGAGGGGGUAGAAUUCCAUGUGUAGCGGUGAAAUGCGUAGAGAUGUGGAGGAAUACCGGUGGCGAAGGCGGCCCCUGGACAAAGACUGACGCUCAUGUGCGAAAGCGUGGGGAGCAAACAGGGAUUAGAUACC
rnacentral:rRNA from 1 species